rnacentral:misc_RNA from 1 species
AAUCUUUCUUCUUCUACCCAGAUAAUCCCCAGUCUCAGAUUUACCUAAAAAUGCCUUCAAUCCCAGAAGAGCCGCUCCUUGCCCCAAACUCAGAUCGUUUCUGUAUGUUCCCAAUUGAAUACCCACAAAUCUGGGAAAUGUAUAAGAAAGCCGAGGCCUCCUUUUGGACUGCUGAGGAGGUCGAUCUCUCUCAAGAUCUCCGCCACUGGGAAGCCCUAACACCCGAUGAAAAGCACUUUGUCACCC